CGCAUCUGUGCAUGCAGCAUAUCAAUAAGCGGAGGAAAAGAAACUAACAAGGAUUCCCUCAGUAACGGCGAGUGAAGCGGGAAGAGCUCAAAUUUGAAAUCUUGAAAGGUCACCUUUCACGAAUUGUAGUUUAAAGAAGUGUUUUCUGUUACGAUCGUAAUAUAAGUUCUUUGGAAUAGGACAUCACAGAGGGUGAGAAUCCCGUCUAUGAUUGCGAUUUGUAGCUUUGUGAUACACUUUCAAAGAGUCGGGUUGUUUGGGAAGUGCAGCCCAAAACGGGAGGUAAAUUUCUUCUAAGGCUAAAUAUUAGGCGAGAGACCGAUAGCGAACAAGUACCGUGAGGGAAAGAUGAAAAGAACUUUGAAAAGAGAGUUAAAUAGUACGUGAAAUUGUCAAAAGGGAAGCGUUUAACACCAGUGUUGUUUUCUGAAAAUCAACCUCUGUUAGCUUUAUGCAUGUUUGUUUAGACCUAAUCAGCUAUCUUGCAUGUUCUAUUGUUUGCAGUGGUGCACUUUUCAGUUUACAGGUCAACAUCAGUUUUUUUUACCGUAAAAAAGUUAAAGAAAGGUAGCUCAUGGCUCCGGUCGUGAGUGUUAUAGUCUUUUUCCUAUGCGGUAGGAGAGACUGAGGUCUGCAGUGUAGGCUAUUUGGCUAGAUACUCAGGUGCUAUGUGAUACCAUUUCAUAAACAACUUGUUGAUUAUGUUUUGUCUAUUGCAUACUCGCUUGUACUAUCAUACCUACGCUUAGGAUGUUGACGAUCAGCUGAGCGCG
rnacentral:rRNA from 1 species